CUAGCGACAGGCUUAACACAUGCAAGUCGAGGGGCAGCGGGGGUAGCGAUACCCGCCGGCGACCGGCGCACGGGUGAGUAACGCGUAUGCAACUUGCCUAUCAGAGGGGGAUAACCCGGCGAAAGUCGGACUAAUACCGCAUGAAGCAGGGGCCCCGCAUGGGGAUAUUUGCUAAAGAUUCAUCGCUGAUAGAUAGGCAUGCGUUCCAUUAGGCAGUUGGCGGGGUAACGGCCCACCAAACCGACGAUGGAUAGGGGUUCUGAGAGGAAGGUCCCCCACAUUGGUACUGAGACACGGACCAAACUCCUACGGGAGGCAGCAGUGAGGAAUAUUGGUCAAUGGCCGAGAGGCUGAACCAGCCAAGUCGCGUGAGGGAUGAAGGUUCUAUGGAUCGUAAACCUCUUUUAUAAGGGAAUAAAGUGCGGGACGUGUCCCGUUUUGUAUGUACCUUAUGAAUAAGGAUCGGCUAACUCCGUGCCAGCAGCCGCGGUAAUACGGAGGAUCCGAGCGUUAUCCGGAUUUAUUGGGUUUAAAGGGUGCGUAGGCGGCCUUUUAAGUCAGCGGUGAAAGUCUGUGGCUCAACCAUAGAAUUGCCGUUGAAACUGGGGGGCUUGAGUAUGUUUGAGGCAGGCGGAAUGCGUGGUGUAGCGGUGAAAUGCAUAGAUAUCACGCAGAACCCCGAUUGCGAAGGCAGCCUGCCAAGCCAUUACUGACGCUGAUGCACGAAAGCGUGGGGAUCAAACAGGAUUAGAUACCCUGGUAGUCCACGCAGUAAACGAUGAUCACUAGCUGUUUGCGAUACACUGUAAGCGGCACAGCGAAAGCGUUAAGUGAUCCACCUGGGGAGUACGCCGGCAACGGUGAAACUCAAAGGAAUUGACGGGGGCCCGCACAAGCGGAGGAACAUGUGGUUUAAUUCGAUGAUACGCGAGGAACCUUACCCGGGUUUGAACGCAUUCGGACCGAGGUGGAAACACCUUUUCUAGCAAUAGCCGUUUGCGAGGUGCUGCAUGGUUGUCGUCAGCUCGUGCCGUGAGGUGUCGGCUUAAGUGCCAUAACGAGCGCAACCCUUGCCACUAGUUACUAACAGGUAAAGCUGAGGACUCUGGUGGGACUGCCAGCGUAAGCUGCGAGGAAGGCGGGGAUGACGUCAAAUCAGCACGGCCCUUACAUCCGGGGCGACACACGUGUUACAAUGGCGUGGACAAAGGGAAGCCACCUGGCGACAGGGAGCGAAUCCCCAAACCACGUCUCAGUUCGGAUCGGAGUCUGCAACCCGACUCCGUGAAGCUGGAUUCGCUAGUAAUCGCGCAUCAGCCAUGGUGCGGUGAAUACGUUCCCGGGCCCUGUACACACCGCCCGUCAAGCCAUGGGAGCCGGGGGUACAUGAAGUCCGUAACCGAAAGGAUCGGCCUAGGGUA
rnacentral:rRNA from 1 species